UUUUAGCUUCUUACGUUGGUGGCACCUGGUUGGACCUGAACCGAAUCCUGCAGCAGGUGGAGGGAAAGAGGCUGAGACUGCUGCUGUGGUUGGCGGCCAUGUGCAGGCUGCAGCUGCACGAUCCCGGGCAGCAUAAUGGGGCACGGACAGGCUCAGGAGCCCUCAGGUCAGCCCCGAGGAGCCCUCACCAUGCUGCAGGAGUGCUGGGCUCUGCCCCGGGAGCACAGCUGGAGAAGAAAGCCUCUACAGAUGGAGAAAGAAACAGAAGCCAACAGGAAUCCAGCACCAAUCUGGAUGACACAGAGUGAGUUAGUCUGCGGCUGUGAAGCCAGCUCCAGCUAUUGCUGAG
rnacentral:lncRNA from 1 species